ensembl:snRNA U1 U1 spliceosomal RNA
GAGGUUACCUGGCAGGGGGGAUACAGUAAUCACGAAGGUAAUUUUCUCAGGGGAAGGCUUAUCAAUUGCACCCUGGGAUCUUCCCAAAUGUGGGAAAUUUGGCUGCAUAAUUUAUGGCAACGGGGGACUGUUUUGAACAUUCCCCUG